GACGAACGCUGGCGGCGUGCUUAACACAUGCAAGUCGAACGGAAAGGCCCUGCUUUUGUGGGGUGCUCGAGUGGCGAACGGGUGAGUAAAACGUGUGUAACAUGUACUUGACUUUGGGAUAUCUUCAGGAAAAUGGGGAUAUUACCGGAUAGGAGAUUCUGCUGCAUGGUGGGGGUAGGUAAGUUACGGCGGUUGGGGAUGGACUAGAGGGUUAUGAGCUUGUUGGUGGGGUAGUGGCUUACCAAGGUUUUGACGGAUAGGCGGCCUUGGAGGGUGACCGGCGACAUGGGGACUGAGAUACGGCCCAGACUCCUACGGGAGGCAGCAGGGGAGAAUAUUGCACAAUGGGGGCAAGUCUGAUGCAGCAACGCCGCGAUCGGGAUGACGGCCUUCGGGUGGUAAACCGCUUUCGCCGUUAACGAAGAGUGAUUGACGGUAAUUGGUAAAGAAGCACCGGCUAACUACGUG
rnacentral:rRNA from 1 species